CUGGUAGCUUAGAUGGUAAAGAAUCAGCCUGCAAUGCAGGAGAUCCAGGUUCAAUCCCUGGGCCAGA
rnacentral:tRNA from 1 species